rnacentral:tRNA from 1 species
AAUGCUGUGGCCGAGUGGUUAAGACGAUAGACUUAAAAUCUUUUAGGAUUUUCCUGCGCAGGUUCAAAUCCUGUCGACAACG